AUUGAACGCUGGCGGCAGGCCUAACACAUGCAAGUCGAGCGGAGCGGCGGACGCGUGAGUAAUACCUAGGAAUCUGCCUGGUCGUGGGGGAGAACGUUCGGAAACGGACACUGAUACCGCAUCCUAUCAGAUUAGCCUAGGUCGGAUUAGCUUGUGGGUGAGGUAAUGGCUCACCAAGGCUACGAUCCGUAACUGGUCUGAGAGGAUGAUCAGCCACACUGGAACUGAGACACGGUCCAGACUCCUACGGGAGGCAGCAGUGGGGAAUAUUGGACAAUGGGCGAAAGCCUGAUCCAGCCAUGCCGCGUGUGUGAAGAAGGUCUUCGGAUUGUAAAGCACUUUAAGUUGGGAGGCGGUACCGACAGAAGAAGCACCGGCUAACUCCGUGCCAGCAGCCGCGGUAAUAC
rnacentral:rRNA from 1 species